GAUGAACGCUGGCGGCGUGCCUAAUACAUGCAAGUCGAGCGAACGGACGAGAAGCUUGCUUCUCUGAUGUUAGCGGCGGACGGGUGAGUAACACGUGGAUAACCUACCUAUAAGACUGGGAUAACUUCGGGAAACCGUAGCUAAUACCGGAUAAUAUUUUGAACCGCAUGGUUCAAAAGUGAAAGACGGUCUUGCUGUCACUUAUAGAUGGAUCCGCGCUGCAUUAGCUAGUUGGUAAGGUAACGGCUUACCAAGGCAACGAUGCAUAGCCGACCUGAGAGGGUGAUCGGCCACACUGGAACUGAGACACGGUCCAGACUCCUACGGGAGGCAGCAGUAGGGAAUCUUCCGCAAAGGGCGAAAGCCUGACGGAGCAACGCCGCGUGAGUGAUGAAGGUCUUCUGAUCGUAAAACUCUGUUAUUAGGGAAGAACAUAUGUGUAAGUAACUGUGCACAUCUUGACGGUACCUAAUCAGAAAGCCACGGCUAACUACGUG
rnacentral:rRNA from 1 species